UUGUGCAUGUUCCUAUUACAGGUUGUGGUCCCUGCUUUUCCAUUCACAUUGACUGUUCCCAGAUUUUUUCCUUUAUUCGUACAUCUCUGACUAUAAGGUACUGAACAUCCAUGUUUGUCCUUAGAACUAGCCCCGCUCCAAACACACACACAUAUGCUCUAUUUGACCUUGGAUCCUGAAAGGCUGGCCAAAAGGAAGGGACAGAGGGAAGGCUACAACAAGAAGGGCAUGAAGACAUGCUUUAAGAGCACAACUCCCAGGGAAAUCAUGUUGCUACUUGUUCUGGAAUGCAGAUCUUAUGUUCUCACUGUGGUUCUUACUGGUUCUGUGGAGGUUUGUCAGGAGCCAAGGGAAGAAUUUGACAGAGAUGCACUGGGGAUCAUGCUUCUUCAUGCAGAAGCUUUUAGCUUCUGGAUUUGUUGCCUGUAUCCUUCACAGUGGAGGCUCUAAUCCUUUGUUGCUGCAUUGAUGAUCAUCUCUGGCGAA